CCUACGGGAGGCAGCAGUGGGGAAUAUUGGACAAUGGGCGAAAGCCUGAUCCAGCAAUGCCGCGUGAGUGAUGAAGGCCUUAGGGUUGUAAAGCUCUUUUACCAGGGAUGAUAAUGACAGUACCUGGAGAAUAAGCUCCGGCUAACUCCGUGCCAGCAGCCGCGGUAAUACGGAGGGAGCUAGCGUUGUUCGGAAUUACUGGGCGUAAAGCGUGCGUAGGCGGUGAUUCAAGUCAGAGGUGAAAGCCUGGAGCUCAACUCCAGAACGGCCUUUGAAACUAGAUCGCUAGAAUUAUGGAGAGGUAAGUGGAAUUCCGAGUGUAGAGGUGAAAUUCGUAGAUAUUCGGAAGAACACCAGUGGCGAAGGCGACUUACUGGACAUAUAUUGACGCUGAGGUACGAAAGCGUGGGGAGCAAACAGGAUUAGAUACCCUGGUAGUCCACGCCGUAAACGAUGAUAACUAGCUGUUCGGGCUCUCAGAGCUUGAGUGGCGCAGCUACGCAUAAGUUAGUCCGCCGUCGGGAGGUACGGUCGCGAGAAGUAAACUAACGAAGAAGUAGUACGACGUGAGACGUACGCCGACGACGACGACGAGGGAGGAGG
rnacentral:rRNA from 1 species